CUAAGUUGUAUCUGUUUUUUCAUUUUUCUGUUCUUACUCCAGGACUGUUGGACACGUGAAUUCCACAGAGGGCUUGACUAAAGUUUAAAAAAAGGCUGAACAGUUCUUGAUCCAACCUUGGACAUUCACACCAGCCUCUUCACAUCAUUCACACAUGAGUAAAUUAUUCGUGUUUAUGUGUUUGUGUGCAAGUGAUGCACGUAAUCGGAUGUCUGACAGGGUAAAACCUGUGUCUGUUUCUUCGACUCAGUGUGUCCAGUGAAUGCGCCUGCAGCAACACAUCCAUCAGAAAGUGCAGCUGUAGUGACUUUUGCUGUGGAGGUUUUGAGCAUCUGCAUUCUGCACAUUAUAGAAGAAAAGGAGGAUCCAAAAAAACAUUCGAGCAAUGCUUGUUUCACAGCAGCUCCUACCACUACUGGACAUGGCUCUUACAAAUCCCUCACUGCAGAAUGGUCCUCUUUUCCUAAUGGUCACUGAAAUGCUCGUGUCCUGAGAGAGGAGACAAUGGGUUUGAUGACAAAAAGGAUGUCUUUCUUAAGCUCCUGGCAGACCCUAUGGGAAGGACUUGGUAUUGUGCUUAUGCGCCACGCUGACAAUGAGGAGGCAGAUGCAAAGGCUUUGGAUAGCAUGGCCAGCUGAGUGUGAUUUCAGAGAGUCUCUGGCUCAGACAUAUGAAACCUAAGACCCUAUAUCUGCAACAUUUUUGUCUUUCAUUGACUUGUCUAAAGCAUCUCCAGAAUAGUUGAGCUUGAUGAUGUGUUUCCUGGUGACAUAAUGUCCAACAGCAGCCACUGGGAAUUUCUGCUUUCUGCUCUCCUUAAGCUUUUAGAGAUGUCAGGCCCACUCUGCUCCCUGUGCUGCCACCUGACAACAAACAACGAUUGGAAUUGAGAAUGUGAGGAGGAAUCCACAGGUGCAGCAGUUUGUGUGUAUGAAUGCUGCACUAAUAAUGAAGCUGAGCCAUCUGAACUUCACAUCAUCAUCAGAUUUUAAAAAUAUUCUAAAUUUACAGCGCUUAUACGUUUUCAGUUUUUGUUGACAUUGUCAGAAAGUGAUAGAAGAAGUAACACAUUAAUCUUCUUAAAGAUGAGAAGUUGAAUACAAAACAAUAAAACACACCCUUUCUUCAUUCACUUUAAUCAGGGGUUUUGAUAGUUGGUCUGGUACGACCAGUAGCUUAUGGUGGCCAA